AAGUCGUAACAAGGUCUCCGUAGGUGAACCUGCGGAGGGAUCAUUAACACGUUUUAAAACACGUUUUAACUAACACCAACCAACCACGUGAACUAUUUAACACUCCUGGAAGAGAAAGAAUUCUGUCUCCUCUCACUAAUGAUAAGUUUACAAGCAAUUGUAAACAGUGAGUUUAGACUAACAUUGCAGUUAAGAGCUGACUUGUAAAGACCUUUCACUUUUGGGCUAAAUGCUCCUAUUAUCAUUCGAGCGAAAACAACCCCUUUCACCAUUUCUAUAACUAUUGACUGAUCGUUUUUCUUUGCAACAUAAGAAAAAACCUAAUCAAAUAUCUAAGCACAACUCUUAGCAACGGAUAUCUUGGUUCUC
rnacentral:misc_RNA from 1 species